UCUAAUGAAACUGCCUACGCAAGUAGUGAGGAAGUGGGGGAUGACGUCAAAUCAGCACGGUCCUUACGUCCAGGGCUACACACGUGCUACAAUGGUCGGUACAAAGGGUUGCCAAGCCGCGAGGUGGAGCUAAUCCCAUAAAACCGAUCGUAGUCCGGAUCGCAGUCUGCAACUCGACUGCGUGAAGUCGGAAUCGCUAGUAAUCGUGAAUCAGAAUGUCACGGUGAAUACGUUCCCGGGCCUU
rnacentral:rRNA from 1 species